rnacentral:rRNA from 1 species
AGUGAACGCUGGCGGUAGGCCUAACACAUGCAAGUCGAACGGCAGCACAGUAAGAGCUUGCUCUUACGGGUGGCGAGUGGCGGACGGGUGAGGAAUACAUCGGAAUCUACUUUUUCGUGGGGGAUAACGUAGGGAAACUUACGCUAAUACCGCAUACGACCUACGGGUGAAAGCAGGGGAUCUUCGGACCUUGCGCGAUUGAAUGAGCCGAUGUCGGAUUAGCUAGUUGGCGGGGUAAAGGCCCACCAAGGCGACGAUCCGUAGCUGGUCUGAGAGGAUGAUCAGCCACACUGGAACUGAGACACGGUCCAGACCCCUACGGGAGGCAGCAGUGGGGAAUAUUGGACAAUGGGCGCAAGCCUGAUCCAGCCAUACCGCGUGGGUGAAGAAGGCCUUCGGGUUGUAAAGCCCUUUUGUUGGGAAGAAAAGCAGCAGGUUAAUACCCCGCUGUUCUGACGGUACCCAAAGAAUAAGCACCGGCUAACUUCGUG